rnacentral:rRNA from 1 species
GACGAACGCUGGCGGCGUGCCUAAUACAUGCAAGUUGAGCGCUGAAGGUUGGUACUUGUCCCAACUGGCUGAGCAGCGAACGGGUGAGUAACGCGUGGGGAAUCUGCCUUUGAGCGGGGGACAACAUUUGGAAACGAAUGCUAAUACCGCAUAAAAACUUUAAACACAAGUUUUAAGUUUGAAAGAUGCAAUUGCAUCACUCAAAGAUGAUCCCGCGUUGUAUUAGCUAGUUGGUGAGGUAAAGGCUCACCAAGGCGAUGAUACAUAGCCGACCUGAGAGGGUGAUCGGCCACAUUGGGACUGAGACACGGCCCAAACUCCUACGGGAGGCAGCAGUAGGGAAUCUUCGGCAAUGGACGAAAGUCUGACCGAGCAACGCCGCGGGAGUGAAGAAGGGUUUCGGAUCGUAAAACUCUGUUGGUAGAGAAGAACGUUGGUGAGAGUGGAAAGCUCAUCAAGUGACGGUAACUACCCAGAAAGGGACGGCUAACUACGUG